rnacentral:rRNA from 5 species
CCUGGCAGCUUUAGCGCGGUGGUCCCACCUGACCCCAUGCCGAACUCAGAAGUGAAACGCCGUAGCGCCGAUGGUAGUGUGGGGUCUCCCCAUGUGAGAGUAGGGAACUGCCAGGC